AGGGCACCACCAGGAGUGGAGCCUGCGGCUUAAUUUGACUCAACACGGGAAAGCUCACCCGGCCCGGACACCGUAAGGAUUGACAGACUGAGAGCUCUUUCUUAAUUCGGUGGGUGGUGGUGCAUGGCCGUUCUUAGUUGGUGGAGCGAUUUGUCUGGUUAAUUCCGAUAACGAACGAGACUCUGGCCUAUUAAAUAGACGAUAUAUCUAUCUAGUAUAUCGCGCUUCUUAGAGGGACAAGCGGCGUCCAGCCGCAUGAAAUAGAGCAAUAACAGGUCUGUGAUGCCCUUAGAUGUCCGGGGCUGCACGCGCGCUACACUGAAAGAAUCAGCGUGCGUUUUACCUAGUUCGGAAGAACCGGGUAACCCAAGUAAAUUCUUUCGUGCUUGGGAUAGGGAAUUGCAAUUAUUUCCCUUGAACGAGGAAUUCCCAGUAAAUGCGGGUCAUAAGCUCGCGUUGAUUACGUCCCUGCCCUUUGUACACACCGCCCGUCGCUACUACCGAUUGGAUGACUUAGUG
rnacentral:rRNA from 1 species